AGAUUCCUACGGGACGCAGCAGUGAGGAAUAUUGGUCAAUGGGCGCGAGCCUGAACCAGCCAAGUAGCGUGAAGGAUGACUGCCCUACGGGUUGUAAACUUCUUUUAUAAAGGAGUAAAGUGAGGCACGUGUGCCUUUUUGUAUGUACUUUAUGAAUAAGGAUCGGCUAACUCCGUGCCCGCAGCCGCGGUAAUACGGGGGAUCCGAGCGUUAUCCGGAUUUAUUGGGUUUAAAGGGAGCGUAGAUGGGUUGUUAAGUCAGUUGUGAAAGUUUGCGGCUCAACCGUAAAAUUGCAAUUGAUACUG
rnacentral:rRNA from 1 species